rnacentral:rRNA from 1 species
AUUGAACGCUGGCGGCAUGCUUUACACAUGCAAGUCGAACGGUAACAGGGAGCUUGCUCCGCUGACGAGUGGCGAACGGGUGAGUAAUGCAUCGGAACAUGCCCAGUCAUGGGGGAUAACUACGCGAAAGCGUAGCUAAUACCGCAUACGCCCUGAGGGGGAAAGUGGGGGGGUCUUAGGACCUCACGUGAUUGGAGUGGCCGAUGUCAGAUUAGCUAGUUGGUGAGGUAAAGGCUCACCAAGGCGACGAUCUGUAGCGGGUCUGAGAGGAUGAUCCGCCACACUGGGACUGAGACACGGCCCAGACUCCUACGGGAGGCAGCAGUGGGGAAUUUUGGACAAUGGGGGCAACCCUGAUCCAGCCAUGCCGCGUGAAUGAAGAAGGCCUUAGGGUUGUAAAAUUCUUUCAGAUGCGAAGAUAAUGACGGUACCAUCAGAAGAAGCUCCGGCUAAAUUCGUGCCAGCAGCCGCGGUAAAGUGACU